rnacentral:rRNA from 1 species
UACGGAGGGAGCUAGCGUUGUUCGGAAUUACUGGGCGUAAAGCGCACGUAGGCGGCUAUUCAAGUCGGGGGUGAAAGCCCGGGGCUCAACCCCGGAACUGCCCUCGAAACUAGAUAGCUAGAAUCUUGGAGAGGCGAGUGGAAUUCCGAGUGUAGAGGUGAAAUUCGUAGAUAUUCGGAAGAACACCAGUGGCGAAGGCGGCUCACUGGCCCGGUACUGACGCUGAGGUGCGAAAGCGUGGGGAGCAAACAGG